rnacentral:rRNA from 1 species
CCUACGGGAGGCAGCAGUGGGGAAUCUUGCGCAAUGGGCGAAAGCCUGGCGCAGCGACGCCGCGUGGGGGAAGAAGGCCUUCGGGUUGUAAACCUCUUUCAGCAGGGACGAAGCCACUCGGGUUAAUAGCCCAGAGGGUGACGGUACCUGCAGAAGAAGCCCCGGCUAACUACGUGCCAGCAGCCGCGGUAAUACGUAGGGGGCAAGCGUUGUCCGGAUUUAUUGGGCGUAAAGAGCGUGUAGGCGGCCAGACAAGUCCGUUGUGAAAACUAGAGGCUUAACCUCUAGACGUCGAUGGAAACUGUUUGGCUAGAGUCCGGAAGAGGAGAAUGGAAUUCCUGGUGUAGCGGUGAAAUGCGCAGAUAUCAGGAAGAACACCCGUGGCUAAGGCGGUUCUCUAGUACGGUACUGACGCUGAGACGCGAAAGCGUGGGGAGCGAACAGGAUUAGAUACCCUGGUAGUCCACGCCGUAAACGAUGGGUGCUAGGUGUGGGGGGUGUCGACUCCCUCCGUGCCGAAGCUAACGCAUUAAGCACCCCGCCUGGGGAGUACGGCCGCAAGGCUAAAACGUUAAAGGAAUUGAACGG